rnacentral:lncRNA from 1 species
AGGCCCUCGUGAAGCCUCAGGCCGUCAAGCCCAAGAUGCCAAAGGGCUCCAGCCGCAAACCCAGCGGUCUGGCUUUCAUCGCUCGCCCCAAGCUUGGGAAGAAGAUUUGAAGCUACAUGGCCAAGGGUCGUAGGCUCUGCCAACCAAAGCCCAAGGUUCAAACCAAGUCAGAGGCCAAAGCUCCAGCUAAGGCCCAGGCUUCAGCUCCAGCCCAGGCUCCCAAGGGUGCCCAGGCCCCUGUGAUGGCCCCAUAGAAAAGGCUCCUGCCAGUGUGAAGACAGAUGGACUGCUGUGACACACCUACCUAUAUAGUUUGCAGAUGACCAGUGUCCUAUGCUGUUUUUACAAAUAAACUUGAGACAAG